CCCAAGUAAAGAAAGUGGAAGCAAUCCGCGAUUGGCCCCGGCCCCGUAAAAAAAAGCAGGUGACGUGGACCGAGGAGACGGAGAAAGCCUUCCAGAACCUGAAGGGAGCGCUGUGUUCGAGACCCGUACUAGUGACCCCGGACUUCUCCAAACCACUGGUGGUACAGACGGAUGCAUCCGAAUCUGGGGUUGGUGCAGUCUUAUCAAAGCUACAAGAAGGUGAGGAACAUCCAGUAUUGUACAUUAGCCGGAAGCUUUUGCCACGAG
ensembl:lncRNA